UACGAAGGGGGCUAGCGUUGCUCGGAAUUACUGGGCGUAAAGCGCACGUAGGCGGUCUUUUAAGUCGGUGGUGAAAUCCUGGAGCUCAACUCCAGAACUGCCUUCGAUACUGGAAGACUUGAGUCCGGGAGAGGUGAGUGGAACUGCGAGUGUAGAGGUGAAAUUCGUAGAUAUUCGCAAGAACACCAGUGGCGAAGGCGGCUCACUGGCCCGGUACUGACGCUGAGGCACGAAAGCGUGGGGAGCAAACAGG
rnacentral:rRNA from 1 species